rnacentral:rRNA from 1 species
CAGUCGCCACGGUAAUACGGAGGGUGCAAGCGUUAAUCGGAAUUACUGGGCGUAAAGCGCACGCAGGCGGUCUGACAAGUCAGAUGUGAAAUCCCCGGGCUUAACCUGGGAACUGCAUUUGAAACUGUCAGGCUGGAGUCUUGUUGAGGGGGGUGGAAUUCCAGGUGUAGCGGUGAAAUGCGUAGAGAUCUGGAGGAAUACCGGUGGCGAAGGCGGCCCCCUGGACAAAGACUGACGCUCAGGUGCGAAAGCGUGGGGAGCAAACAGGAUUAGAUACCCCUGUAGUCCCUGUCUCUUAUAC